AUUGAACGCUGGCGGCAGGCCUAACACAUGCAAGUCGAACGAGUGGCGGACGGGUGAGUAAUGUCUGGGAAACUGCCCGAUGGAGGGGGAUAACUACUGGAAACGGUAGCUAAUACCGCAUACCAUCGGAUGUUCCCAGAUGGGAUUACCUAGGAGGUGGUGUAACGGCUCACCUAGUCGACGAUCCCUAGCUGGUCUGAGAGGAUGACCAGCGAGACUGGAACUGAGACACUGUCCAGACUCCUACGGGAGGCAUCAGUGGUGAAUAUUGCACAAUGGGCGAAAGCCUGAUGCAGCCAUGCAGCGUGUAUGAAGAAGGCCUUCGGGUUGUAAAGUACUGUCAGCGAGGAGGCGUUACUCGCCGAAGAAGCACCGGCUAACUCCGUGCCAGCAGGCGCGGUAAUAC
rnacentral:rRNA from 1 species